rnacentral:tRNA from 1 species
AACGUUAUGUCUGAUUAAAGUAAUAAAUUGUAAAUUUAUUUAAGAAGGUUGUUUAUGCUUCUAACGUUA